CUCGAGUUCUGAUUGGUCGGCGGCGAAAACGUCAGCCAAUCAGCGCUCGCCUUACCAAGUUCUCGAUGUAAACGGAAUGGUGAAGCUUGUGAAAGAAAACAUUGUACGUCAAAUAAUGGGAUUUUCCUCAAAAAUUAGGAGAGGCUAGUUCACUGUUUCCUAAACACAGUACUUCCAUUUGAAUUGCUUGAGAGGAGUUGGAUGAGAGGAUCGUCGGGGGAAGAUUGCUCUUCAUCCGAAAAAAAAUCAGAAUGCGCUUGUGAAGGAGUGUCGAGCUGAAUCACGAUGGAUGUAGAUGUUGGUGGGGCCAGUGUAUCGGACAGUGAGGGUUGUGGAAGCGGGCCGUCAUCCUCAGGGCACGGAGGACAGAGUGGAGGGGGUGGAGGAAGCAAGCUGAAGAGGUCGAGCAGUGCCCCCAUGAUCAACCAGCUCGUGCCUCAAGGUCCUGUCUCGGCACCUCCAACUCCCUCGGCUGCCAGGU